UAUAAUUGACAAUAGGAAUUCUUCAAGCAAACUUUCAAAAUAUGUAAACUAAAUUGUGAAAACAUCUCAUGGAAUGUGGAGAACUUUCCAGUGUUGAAAUGUGUUAAAUUUAUCUGUGAACAUGCAAAGUAUUAUUGAUACUGACUGGUGUUUAGAGGAAUUAUACUUGAUUUUGAACUUGGCUAUAGUCGGAGGCACUGCUAAGUACUUGAAACACAGGUACUUUCUAACAUCUGCAGACUGUACUGAGGAACAGAGUUUGUCAUGCUUCUACAGUAGAUCUUUGAUAUUGUCAGUAAGGAAACAUCCACACCUUCUUUGGUUAAAAGUCUCAGAGACUUUGAGGGUCACUGCCUGCCAAGAGGAAAGUAUGAUGAAGCACAGGCUGUUUCACUGAACCACUCCACGGAUGGUCCAUGACUGCGGAGCAGAGUGAACCUCAGUAUAGACAGCACUGGUCUCCUACAAGGCCACGGUCACCAGCAGAUGAGGUGUUAAUGGAUUAUUCCUGGUAAUGGGUUUCCCUUUGCCUCUUUAUUACAUUCCAAGCUGUUACCUAGACUACAUUUCACUAUAUCUAAUUAAUGUACUAAUCAACUGUUUUGAAUGGAAAGGGAGAAAAUAUGUUGAUCCUCCUGCUGGCAGGGUAAGAAAUAUGCCUACUGUGGAGUAUCUUUUUCCAUCAUGGAGAAAAUGUAAUCUCUAUUGUUCUCAAAAGUGAAUAAAAUUUUUGUAUUUGAA